GUGCCAGCCGCCGCGGUAAUACGAAGGGGGCUAGCGUUGCUCGGAAUUACUGGGCGUAAAGGGCGCGUAGGCGGUUUGGUCAGUCAGGCGUGAAAUUCCCGGGCUCAACCUGGGGGCUGCGCUUGAUACGGCCAGACUAGAGGACGGAAGAGGCUCGCGGAAUUCCCAGUGUAGAGGUGAAAUUCGUAGAUAUUGGGAAGAACACCGGUGGCGAAGGCGGCGAGCUGGUCCGUUACUGACGCUGAGGCGCGACAGCGUGGGGAGCAAACAGGAUUAGAUACCCUUGUAGUCC
rnacentral:rRNA from 1 species